UACGUAGGGUGCAAGCGUUAAUCGGAAUUACUGGGCGUAAAGCGUGCGCAGGCGGCUUUGCAAGACAGAUGUGAAAUCCCCGGGCUCAACCUGGGAACUGCAUUUGUGACUGCAAGGCUAGAGUACGGUAGAGGGGGAUGGAAUUCCGCGUGUAGCAGUGAAAUGCGUAGAUAUGCGGAGGAACACCGAUGGCGAAGGCAUCCCUCGGACCUGUACUGACGCUCAUGCACGAAAGCGUGGGGAGCAAACAGG
rnacentral:rRNA from 1 species